rnacentral:lncRNA from 1 species
CUCAAAAAUUAAUGUAAAUGAAAAGGGUAGGCUGUCACAUUUGACUGUUUCCAGGAGUGUGAGUUACCUGAGCAGUGAUGAACAACAGCUAUUAGGUGGGGAAUGACCAAGCAGAAUUAGUUUAAAUUAUCUUGAGCUAGCUUUAAUAAACUACUGUAAAUAAGCAGUUUGCGCUACCUGAUCUCAGCAGUGCGACAUGUGAAGAGGUCGUGCAUUAAGUAUGUAAAGUGACCAUUCAACAGUGACGUUGUUAUUGCUACAGCCAGAUGCUUCUGGGGGCUGAACAACAGCUCUUCUUAAUUCCAGUGAAGCUGUGAAGAGCCAGCUGCUGUUAAUGAUCAGACAGGAAGGACUAAAGCAAGUCUGGCUUGCUUUAGCCUAGGCCAGGAUGAAGGCUGGUCAUUAUUAGGCAAGUCACUGUGCUGCAGGUUGCCCUGCUUUUGUGCUACUUCUGGUAGGUGGAAGAGGGAAGAAUUUGAAUCCAAAAGGCCUGAAGGAAGCCUGCAGCAUGCAGUGAUGAUAUUUGCUGACCAUGAGAUGAAAAGGAAGUGACUAUCUCAGGGUGCAUGAUGCUGGAGACUCAGGCUGGGGGAAGCGAUGCAGGAUAAUUAAGCUAAUCGUACUGCAUAAAACACAAUGUUUCCCUUACUGGUGAAUUCAACACUGAUCUACCGGGAAAACCUUCUCUCUUCCUACCAAAAGUGUCUUGGAAAUGGCCAUGAUUGCU